rnacentral:rRNA from 1 species
GACCUCGGAUCAGGUAGGAAUACCCGCUGAACUUAAGCAUAUCAAUAAGCGGAGGAAAAGAAACCAACAGGGAUUGCCUCAGUAACGGCGAGUGAAGCGGCAACAGCUCAAAUUUGAAAUCUGGCCCCCAGGCCCGAGUUGUAAUUUGCAGAGGAUGCUUUUGGCGAGGUGCCUUCCGAGUUCCCUGGAACGGGACGCCAUAGAGGGUGAGAGCCCCGUCUGGUCGGACACCGAGCCUCUGUAAAGCUCCUUCGACGAGUCGAGUAGUUUGGGAAUGCUGCUCUAAAUGGGAGGUAUAUGUCUUCUAAAGCUAAAUACCGGCCAGAGACCGAUAGCGCACAAGUAGAGUGAUCGAAAGAUGAAAAGCACUUUGAAAAGAGAGUUAAAUAGCACGUGAAAUUGUUGAAAGGGAA